rnacentral:rRNA from 1 species
UACAGAGGGUGCGAGCGUUGUCCGGAAUCACUGGGCGUAAAGGGCGCGUAGGUGGUGGCUUAAGCGUGCGGUGAAAGCUCGGGGCUCAACCCCGAGUCGGCCGUGCGAACUGGGCUCACUGGAGCAUAGUAGAGGCAGGUGGAAUUCCGGGUGUAGCGGUGGAAUGCGUAGAGAUCCGGAAGAACACCGGUGGCGAAGGCGGCCUGCUGGGCAGUUGCUGACACUGAGGCGCGACAGCGUGGGGAGCAAACAGG